UACGUAUGGGGCGAGCGUUGUCCGGAAUGAUUGGGCGUAAAGGGUACGUAGGCGGUUAAUUAAGUCGAGUGUUAAAGGUUGGGGCUCAACCCCAUAAAGCAUUCGAAACUGGUUAACUUGAGAUAUGGAGAGGAAAGUGGAGUUCCUAGUGUAGCGGUGACAUGCGUAGAUAUUAGGAGGAAUACCAGUAGCGAAGGCGACUUUCUGGACAUAUACUGACGCUGAGGUACAAAAGCGUGGGAAGCAAACAGG
rnacentral:rRNA from 1 species